GACGAACGCUGGCGGCGUGCCUAAUACAUGCAAGUCGAACGCAGUUGGGACGGGUGAGUAACCCGUGGGUAACCUCCCAUCAGAGGGGAUAACACUUGGAAACAGGUGCUAAACCGAUACUGAUGGAUGGACCCGCGGUGGAUUAGCUAGUUGGUGAGGUAACGGCUCACUAAGGCCACGAUGCAUAGCCGACCUGAGAGGGUGAUCGGCCACACGGGUACUGAGACACGGCCCAGACUCCUACGGGAGGCAGCAGUAGGGAAUCUUGGGCAAUGGACGAAAGGCUGACCGAGCAACGCCGCGUGAGGGAAGAAGGUUUUCGGGUCGUAAAGCUCUGUUAUUAGGGAAGCGGUACCUAAACAGAAAGCCACGGCUAACUACGUGCCAGCAGCCGCGGUAAUUC
rnacentral:rRNA from 1 species